GAUGAACGCUAGCUACAGGCUUAACACAUGCAAGUCGAGGGACCGGCGCACGGGUGAGUAACACGUAUCCACCCUGCCCUUUACUCGGGGAUAGCCUUUCGACAGAAAGAUUAAUACCCGAUAUAAAGGAUGGGGAUGCGUUCCAUUAGGUUGUUGGUGAGGUAACGGCCCACCAAGACUUCGAUGGGUAGGGGUUCGGAGAGGAAGGUCCCCGAGAUUGGAACAGGGACCCGGUCCAAACGCCUACGGGAGGCAGGAGUGAGGAAGAUUGGUCAAUGGGCGUUAGCCAGAACCAGCCAAGUAGCGUGAAGGAUGAAGGCUUAUGGGUCGUAAACUUCUUUUAUAUAAGAAUAUGUAUUAGAUGAAUAAGCAUCGGCUAACUCCGUGCCAGCAGCCGCGGUAAUAC
rnacentral:rRNA from 1 species